rnacentral:rRNA from 1 species
AUUGAACGCUGGCGGCAGGCCUAACACAUGCAAGUCGAACGAGUGGCGGACGGGUGAGUAAUGUCUGGGAAACUGCCUGAUGGAGGGGGAUAACUACUGGAAACGGUAGCUAAUACCGCAUACCAUCGGAUGUGCCCAGAUGGGAUUAGCUAGUAGGUGGGGUAACGGCUCACCUAGGCGACGAUCCCUAGCUGGUCUGAGAGGAUGACACGCCACACUGGAACUGCGACACGGUCCAGACUCCUACGGGAGGCAGCAGGGGGGAAUAUUGCACAAUGGGCGCAAGCCUGAUGCAGCCAUGCCGCGUGUAUGAAGAAGGCCUUCGGGUUGUAAAGUACUUUCAGCGGGGAGGCGUUACCCGCAGAAGAAGCACCGGCUAACUCCGUGCCAGCAGCCGCGGUAAUUC